rnacentral:rRNA from 1 species
UACGUGGGGUGCAAGCGUUAUCCGGAAUUAUUGGGCGUAAAGAGAUGCGUAGGUGGUCGGUAAAGUUUUUGGUGAAAUCCCUAGGCUCAACCUAGGAACUGCGUCUGAUACUGGAUGGCUUGAAUCCGGGAGAGGGAUGCAGAAUUCCAGGUGUAGCGGUGAAAUGCGUAGAUAUCUGGAGGAAUACCGGUGGCGAAGGCGGCAUCCUGGACCGGCAUUGACGCUGAGGAGCGAAAGCUAGGGGAGCAAACGGG